GUCUAUGCCAUGCCACCCUGAAAAAGCCCGAUGCCUGAUCUCGGAAGCUAAGCAGAGUUGGGCCUGGUUAGUACUUGGAUGGGAGACCACCUAGGAAGACCAGGUGCUAUGGGCA
rnacentral:rRNA from 1 species